rnacentral:lncRNA from 1 species
CAGAUGCCAAGGCAAAUUUUUCAUGCAUUUUUCCACAGCCUUGUCGGUUAAAAAGUAGAUAGUGAUCCUUCAGUAACAUGGGAAAAUGUGAUGAUUAGUAGCCACUUCUUAGAAAUAGUGUGGUACAGUAAACAGAACCCAGGGUGCAUAAUCAGAAGUGUGCCUCAACACUGGCCAGCUCUUCCGAACUGCGUGGCCCUGGCAGAAUCAUGAUCUCUAUAGCCUCAGUCUAUACAGCUCUUUAAUGAGAGAAUGAGGACACUUGCGUCUUGGAUGUUUCAGAGAGUCAAGCAUAGUUAUUUGUAUUGUAAAUGGAAUAUUUAGAAGAAGGAGCACAAGAAAGAGGACACCCUUAACAGAAAAGUUAUUCAUUUCCAAUUUAAGACUCAUCAAGGGAUAAAAUCUGAAAACUUAUAAAGGAUACUUAUUACAGAAAAAAUUUAAGGGGAAACUGGUGCUGUGGAGAGACCCAUGUGGAAAGGAACUGAGGACUCCCGGCAAAAGUCACCAAGGACCGAGGUUGCUGACAGCUGCAUGUGAACUCGGAAGCAGAUCAAUCCUUGCCCAAGCCCACACUUUGUCUACAGCCUUGGUGAGAGACCCUGAGCCAGGGAUGCACAUCCAAGCUGCACCCAAACUCUUGACCCACAGAAACUGUGAGAUGAUGAAUGUGUUUAAGCCCCCAUAUUGUGGAGUCAUUUAUUACACAGCAAUAGAUGGCUAAGAUGAGCACUAUUUUUAUCCCCUUGUGAGUUCAUGGCUUGGUCUCCCUACCUCCCACUGACUAAAUGUGGCUAAAGCAAAAUCCAAUAACCAGCUGUCUCUGAACAAUAUUAACUGAAUGCCUACUGUUUACUAGCAUGACAGGAAUUCAAAAGAGUUUAUGAGGGAAAUGGCCACAGUGAGGCAGAGGAUUUACAUGCUGGGAAGGCUUCAUCCUGGCAAAUUACCCAGGGCAGACCUUCCCUCCUUCACUGUCUAAAAUAUCCAACUCUUAUAGUUUCAAAUCCCCAUCUCUUAUUGUCUGUCUUAUAGAAACCACCCU